rnacentral:rRNA from 1 species
AUUGAACGCUGGCGGCAUGCCUUACACAUGCAAGUCGAACGGCAGCACGGGUGCUUGCACCUGGUGGCGAGUGGCGAACGGGUGAGUAAUACAUCGGAACAUGUCCUGUAGCGGGGGAUAGCCCGGCGAAAGCCGGAUUAAUACCGCAUACGAUCUACGGAUGAAAGCGGGGGACCUUCGGGCCUCGCGCUAUAGGGUUGGCCGAUGGCUGAUUAGCUAGUUGGUGGGGUAAAGGCCUACCAAGGCGACGAUCAGUAGCUGGUCUGAGAGGACGACCAGCCACACUGGGACUGAGACACGGCCCAGACUCCUACGGGAGGCAGCAGUGGGGAAUUUUGGACAAUGGGCGAAAGCCUGAUCCAGCAAUGCCGCGUGUGUGAAGAAGGCCUUCGGGUUGUAAAGCACUUUUGUCCGGAAAGAAAUCCUUGGCCCUAAUACGGUCGGGGGAUGACGGUACCAGAAGAAUAAGCACCGGCUAACUACGUG